UCGUCGGCGCUGAGACUCAGAGCGUGGGCUUCAAUGCUUGCAAAGGCUCAGUUUCAAGAAGAGAAAGAAAAGAAGGAAAGAAAGCAAGAAAGCAAGAAAGAGAAAGAAAGAAAGCAAGCAAGCAAGAAAGAAAGAAAGAAAGAAAGAAAGAAAGAAAGAAAGAAAGAAAGAAAGAAAGAAAAGAAGAGCCUUAAGGUGGACCUACAAACUACAGAGUUCCUAAGUUCUCUUUUUUCUCUAUUUUCUUUUCUGCCUGCUUUAAAUCUGCUGUUAUUUUUCUAUUAAGAUCAAAACCACUGUUUGGAUACAACAGUUUUUUUGCUUGCAAGCUGGUGAAUUUGUAUUUGUCUCAUGGCUAAAGUUCUGAAGUAAAAGCUAUAGGAUGUGUGUGUGUGUGUGUGUGUGUGUGUGUGUGUGUGUGUAUUUAAAAGGCCUUUAUAAUUUUUAUAAUUUUAUGUUUAUUUGGCAAUGAAGUCCAUUUUAAUUUCCCUCUAGCACCACCAGACUUUUUCUCUCUGUACCUUAAGACAUAAAUUUUGCUCUUUGAUUUUUGCCUGAGUUGUUUCCUUUAAUAUGCAAACUUAAAGCCAUUUAGCUGACAACUUCCUAGGGGAUUAAAACAGGUUAUUGAGAAUUUGAAAGUCUAAGAUAGUGGAAAAAUCUUCUUAUGAAUCUAUAAGAUGUACUUCUAUCAACAUGCCUACUAGGUCUAUGUAUUUAUGUGUUGUGUACACAAUGUCUCACUACUGAAAAUAUAUAAAAGGGCUCUAAUUAAUUGGCUUAAGAAAAAAAGCACUUAAAUCAAAUACUUAUUAGGAAAAAAGAAAAGACUAGUUGAAUGCUUUCUCAAGUUUAUGUAACUUAAGUAAAAUCUUUAAUAAAUAAGCUACUUUUAAAAUGAUUGGUAAAGUAAUAUUAGACAUGUCUUAAGAAUUGCCAGCAUGCAUUUUGUUUGCAUUUAUUAAUCAAGCAAUUUCAUGUUUAUCCCUGUCAAAUACUAUAAGGUGUCAAAAUUUGGCAUGGGGUUACAAAACUGUGAUAGAAUGAUCUUUGCUUGUGUAAUCUUUAAUAAAUAAGACAUUGAUACUGGUUUAAUAAAAAUAGCCACAUCUUGAAUUUAGUCAGAUUACCAUAACUUCUAAUCUUGUGGCUUUUAGUGGUCUAGUCCACAGGCAGUAAUAUUUACUUUGGGAAUGAAAUAUUAUAAUCUUUGUUUCAAAGGUAAACUAUAAACUAUUUUCCUCUCAAAGUCUGUUCAGCCUGUGCUGGUAAGAAAGCUUAAAGAGAAAUAAUUUCAUAUGAGAAAGAAUCUUGUAUGGUAAAUUUAGACCUAAAAUAAAAUGACUGAUUGUUUAAGAAAGAUGGAUGUUCAAAACAAACUAGAUAGUCCAAGCAUAUCAUGAACAGUCUCUAUAAGUCAUAAGAGGAUUUAUUUUAAAAAAAUACCAAAAAACUUUUAUAUGAUUGAGUUGUCUAUAAUUAAAGGGAAAUUAUAAUGGUCUUCCUGAAGAUUGGGCUUCAUGCUAAAAAAAACACUUAUAGACUAAAUAAUUAGUUACAGCGAUGAAAUUUUCUUAAGGGAUUGAUUUACUCUUAAUAAAUUAUAAGAGAUUUUAAUUUUUUAACCCAAAGUUCAACUAUUUACUUGCUGUUUUCUCUCCCCUUCAACUUGUUUUCAGCUCAUAUAAGUUAUUUUCCUUAAGUUCUGUUUGUUGUGGCCUGAUGCUAACAAUGUUUUCUAAAAGUCUAAAGGAAAUGUUUUCUUCCAAAGUAAUACUCUGUGCAGUGUAGAAGGUCUUUUCUUUUGCCUUUUGGUAAUUGACCUAACAGAUUUUAUGGCUUAUUGAAACAAUUCCUAUGCCAUUAUUAUUAAUUUUUGGUUUGCUUAGGAAAAAGAAACUGAGACAAUUUUUUUAAAAAAUUAACGUUAUUACAUCCAUGUAUAUUUCUGUGUGCACUUUGAAAGUACCUGUGACAUUGAGUUACCGGCCUUUAACUCCUGGAUCUAAAAAGGAGACCAAGAUCUGCUAAAUCUUAAACACUGACAGCAAUUAAAACCUCAUCUUCAGGCCUGGUAGAAGAUGCCUAUCAAAAUAAGCUGCAUUUCUGAGACAUAAGGCCAUAAAUCAAAGCUAUUCAACUCUUCAAGACUCAGGAACAAUCACAGAAGAGGUUUCUAAUAACUCUGGAGAUUGUGACAUCACAAUGAAGGAAAAGCUUUCAGGACUCAUGGAGACCUGAAAUGUUCAUGAAUAGCAAGCAGAACAGGAAUUAACUGCAUGAACUGAACUAACAGAAGACUGAAGUAAUCUUUUUGACUUUUUGCUUAAAACAUUGCUGACCCUUUAUUUUGUUUUUUUCAGUCAAGGAAACUUUUCUUUUGAGCUGUUGUCAGCUUUUAACAAGUUAGUAUACUCCUGUGAAAAAUAUUUGGAGCAUAUUUGUUUCUCUCUACCUGAUUUUCCCUAGAAUUGGAAACUAUCUGUGAGUAUUCUUAACUUAUGGCAAUACAGUUAUUUGCGUAAGUGCAAUAAGAAUCUGUUUUCAUUUGUAACAGGACACGAUAAAUUGGUCAUUUUACCAAGGCUUUUACUUGAAUGGUGUGCUCUUCUUUGAGGAAUCAAACUUGACUUAUGGAGCCAAUAAAAGCCCCUUGGGAGAACUGGCCUCAUACCUUAUCUACACAGUCCCUGUACAGGGUUCCUGACCUGUGGUAAGUAAAGCAUGUCACUUUCUAACAGUUCCAGGAGCCCCAAGUUUAUCUUGGAACCUCAAGAGGAGAGGAAUUCACCCAACUCAUAGGUAUUUGAUGGUACAAAUCCAUGGCUAGGCUAAGCUUUCCAAAAGUCUUAUCCGAAAUUCCUUCUAUGGAACAAAGUUCUGAUAGGGCCAGGGGACAGAGAAAUUCUAGGCAGAAAAGGAUAGGUCUCUGACAAAACCCCACCUUCAAGCUGAAAAGCCUUAAACCAUGGCCCAAAGUGACAACUUAUAUCCCUGUUUUCCUGCUUGAAAGUUGCCUUUUUCUAAACCACUCAUGGCCCCAUCCUGUCCCAUCCUGUGCCUGUGAAGAUCUCAGACUGAGCUGGCAGAGGCAAGAAGCAGCUGGAUGUUGGGGACUACAGCCGGACAUCAGAGAGAAGCAGCUUGACUGCAGAGGGACAGCUUGAUGGUGUAACCUUGGAGAAGAAUCCGGCUGGAUACAGCCUAACUUUGAGGAAGAUUACCUACCCACCCCAUCCUUUUUCAGCUCCCUUCCUGCUAAGAGCCACUUUCAUCAGCAACAAAAUCCCCCACAUUUACCAUCCUUUGAUUGGUUCAUGUGACCUCACCUUUCCUGGACACCCGACAAGAGCUUGGGAGCCAGGAGAGCAGAUACAAAAGGCUGUCACACUGGCCUUCUGCUCUUGCUGUUGGAGGGCAGCUGCCUCAUGCAAAAAGGCAGAGGGCUCACUGAGCUGUUGACACUUAAGCCAUCCAUGGAAGGCAGAGUUAAAAGAGCACUGUAACAUGACUUCUGGGGCUAUGGGAGUUGCAGGCACCUCCACCUAGAUGCUGCUGUGGGGCCCGCACAGAGUUUGCUCCUGCCAGCACCCAAAAGCACUCACUCUGGCUCCUGCACCCAUUCACCUGCAUGCUUCCUUCCAUGAGCAGGGGACUGCAGCAGGUCCAAGUGAGUGAAGUUUGAUCCUGCAGCACUGAAGUGCUGAUUCCAGCACUCAUGCACUCCAGUUCCUGCCUCAUUUGCUUGCAUGCUCUCUCCUGCAAGGAGGUGAGAGUGGCAGGCUGAAUAAAUGAGGCCCUGUCACAAGUCCCACAGAAGGGUCAGGGAAACAUCCUGCUUCGCUUCCAUCAAAGAGAAUUUAAAAGCUUAUGCAAAAAAAUUAUUACUAUUACUAUGACUGUGCUGUAUACAAUAAUCAGGUCAAGUAUAAUAAAGCAAAUCAGCUCUGCCAUGAUUUGUCUUUAGUAAAAAUGGUAAAUGGGAGAGAGAAGAAUUGUUUCAAAAAAUGAUAGUACACCUGUUGUUAGAUUCUAGUCUUGCCUAAUGUUUUUCCAUUUUUAUUAAUUUUUACAGUUUGGACUGAAUUCUAAUUUUUCUUGGCUACAGGUCUUCAAAAGAUUGUCUUCAGUUUUUUUCUUCUUCUUCUUUCCACCAUUUUUCCUAAUUUGGAGUCACCGAAAACUCAUCUGUGCUUUUAUAAAGCCCUGUGAACUGCAGCUAUAAGAUUUAAACUUCAGAAGAAAAUAUUAGCAACCUUUUCACAUACGUGAGCCUCUUUCAUACCUGCCUACUGAUAUAUGGACUUCCGAGUAAUGUGGCCCAUAUUGAUUUUCCAGGAUUGUUCUUUUGUUUAUUUUUGUUUUUCUCCCUUCCUUUCCCUAUUUUCUCUUCAUAGGACAUGAAACUUCACAACCUGCUAAAAAUGAACUUUCCUAAUAACUCAGGAAUUAUCUUUCUAGGAAUAAACAAUCCUAGCCAUGAGAUAUCAGAUGAAACUUGAGACCAAAGACUGACUUUCUUCUAAAAUGCUUUCUCAAAAAGAUUUUUAAGAAGAAAUGGGCGGAAAUGUGAAAGGAAAAUAAACCUUGGGGCCCUGAAAUCACUAAGGUAAAGGGGAAAGUCAAGCUGGGAACUGCUUAGGGCAAACCUGCCUCCCGUUCUAUUCACAGUCACCCCUCUGCUCACAGAGAUAAAUGCAUAUCUGAUUGCCUCCUUUGGAAAGGCUAAUCAGAAACUCUGAAGAAAGCAACCAUUUUUCUCUUAUCUACCUAUGACCUGGAAGCCCCUCCCCACUUAGAGUUGUCCCGGCCUUUUCCGGACGGAACCACUGUUCAUCUUACAUAUGUUGAUUGAUGUCUCAUGUCUCCCUAAAAUGUAUAAAACCAAGCUGUGCUCUGACCACUUUGGGCACCUGUCUUCAGAACCUCCUGAGGCUGUGUCACAGGUGUACAUCCCCAACCUUGGCAAAAUAAACUUUCUAAAUAAACUGAGACCUGUCUCCGAUUUUGCGGGUUCAGAAGGCUAUACUGAAUUGUCCCCUGUGUGAAGCCCAGCAGGAGCCUUUCACAGCAGGUUCUUUUCACUUGAACCUUUGUGCAUCAGCACCUAACUCUUUCGCAAGAUAAGGGGUCCUACGGAAUACCAGCAGACCCACCAGAGGGUUACAAAUUCCUGAUACCUAGUACAACCUGGGAAAGAGAGCAAAAGCCCUUUAUUCCUGAUGUAGCUUCCCCAAUCUCUAGCCAAUUUGCACCAAAAGCCCAAGAAACUCCUAACUACAAAUUCCUUCCAGGGGUGGGGUGUGUGGGAGGGUGGGCAGGGACUUCUCUGGGGUCCUGCAUGCACAGCUAGGCUCAAGGUUCAGCUUAUAGUAACCUUUUCCUCAUUUU
rnacentral:lncRNA from 1 species